AACGAACGCUGGCGGCGCGCUUAACACAUGCAAGUCGAACGAGAAGGCGUAGCAAUACGCUUGUAAAGUGGCGAACGGGUGAGGAAUACAUGGGUAACCUACCCUCGAGUGGGGAUACCCGCCGAAAGGCGGGCUAAUACCGCGUACGCUUCCGAUCUUGCGGGAUCGGAAGGAAAGCUGUCCCGAGGGGAUGGCGCUACAAGGAUGGGCUCAUGUCCUAUCAGCUUGUU
rnacentral:rRNA from 1 species